AUUGAACGCUGGCGGCAUGCCUUACACAUGCAAGUCGAACGGUAAAAGGUCUUCGGAUGCUGACGAGUGGCGAACGGGUGAGUAAUGCAUCGGAACGUGCCCAGUUGUGGGGGAUAGCUGCUCGAAAGAGCAGCUAAUACCGCAUACGACCUGAGGGUGAAAGCGGGGGAUCGCAAGACCUCGCGCAAUUGGAGCGGCCGAUGUCAGAUUAGGGAGUUGGUGGGGUAAAGGCCUACCAAGCCGACGAUCUGUAGUUGGUCUGAGAGGACGACCAGCCACACUGGGACUGAGACACGGCGCAGACUCCUACGGGAGGCAGCAGUGGGGAAUUUUGGACAAUGGGCGCAAGCCUGAUCCAGCAAUGCCGCGUGCAGGAAGAAGGCCUUCGGGUUGUAAACUGCUUUUGUCAGGGAAGAAAUCCUCUGGGUUAAUACCCCGGGGGGAUGACGGUACCUGAAGAAUAAGCACCGGCUAACUACGUGCCAGCCGCCGCAGUAAUAC
rnacentral:rRNA from 1 species